AGUCACUGACAUUAGAUACCCUGUAGUCCCAGCCGUAAACUAUGCGCGUUAGGUGUACUGGUGACCACGAGUCACCGGGUGCCGAAGGGAAACCGUGAAACGUGCCGCCUGGGAAGUACGGUCGCAAGGCUGAAACUUAAAGGAAUUGGCGGGGGAGCACCGCAACGGGAGGAGCGUGCGGUUUAAUUGGAUUCAACACCGUAAACUCACCAGGGAAGACUGUUACAUGAAGGCCGAGAUGAAGACUCUGCUAGAUUUUCAG
rnacentral:rRNA from 1 species